AAACAAUCAUCAAAACAUUGAACUCAGUCUAAUUAACAGACCGAUUCACCUACCAAAAUAAACAACAGAAACUCAUCAUGUAAUCAAUAAUCCCAACCCCUGCUGAUAAUGUUUGGGAAUUGGGUAUUGUCAAAAGGAGAAAGGAAGACUGCUUUAAUAAGGCUCAGGGAGGCGUGGCCAUCUGCUGCAACCAGCAGGGUGUGAAGGGAAGGAGACAGGACAAAGCUAGAGGUUAAUAACAACGAUGAAAACUGUAUAAACACAUGGAGAGUGAAAAGAGGUUUCUGUCUGAAGUGGUUCUUAACAGCCUCCACCAAGAUGGUUUCAAACACAGACUCACAGUGAAAGGAGUGAAUGAGAAGCGGCAGGCACAGCCAGACCUGCAGGUUGUUUGUGUGAAUGGGUUCUUGUGUGUCACCCGAGGACAUUAAGCAAAGGUCACGUAGAUGUUGUUACAGUACAGGGUGUACCCAACCUCUCACCCUAUGACAGCUGACAUAAGCUCCACCCCCACUGUGACCGUGAAAUGGAAGAAGAUGGAUGAUUCGAAAAUCUGACUCAACCUCUAUUCAGCCUGGAGACAAUAUUGAUGCACGUCCAUCAGUUUUUGACAUUAUACUAUGACCACUUGGGACCAGGGAGAUGACGUCGG